CACAAGAAACGAACUGUAAAGAUGGAAUAAACAAUGAUGGAGGUACUAGUAAUCUUGUUAUUAGGUAGGAUAGACCCACAAGAAACGAACUGUAAACAUGGAAUAAACAAUGAUGGAGGUACUAGUAAUCUUGUUAUUAGGUAGAUAGACCCACAAGAAACGAACUGUAAAGAUGGAGUAGACAAUGAUGGAGACGGUUUGACUGACUGUGCCGAUAGCGAGUGCUGUAGACACGAGGUGUGUAAGGACAACGUACUGUGUAUGUCAUCUCCCGACCCUCUAGAUAUUCUCCUCAGAAAACAGCCGCCGGCUGUUACUGCAUCUUUUUACCAGAAAAUGAAAUUUUUGAUAGAUGAAGACAGCGUUCAGAACUAUCCACACAGAGACGAGUUUUCGGAAAGUCGUGUUUCCGUCAUCCGUGGUCAAGUGGUCAGUAAACAAGGAGAUGGGCUGACCGGAGUUCGAGUUGGUGUUGCUGCCGGCCACCAUUUUGGAUUCACACUCACUCGGCAAGAUGGCUGGU